rnacentral:rRNA from 1 species
GACAGAGGAGGCAAGCGUUAUCCGGCCUUAUUGGGCGUAAAGCGUCCGUAGGUGGUUUGGCAAGUCUGGGGUUAAAGCCCGGAGCCUAACUCCGGAUCGGCCCUGGAAACUGCCAGACUAGAGUAAGGUAGGGGUUGCGGGAAUUCCCGGUGUAGCGGUGAAAUGCGUAGAUAUCGGGAAGAACACCAGUGGCGAAAGCGCGCAACUGGGCCAUUACUGACACUGAGGGACGAAAGCUAGGGGAGCGAAGGGG